rnacentral:rRNA from 1 species
AAUGAACGCUGGCGGCGUGCCUAAUACAUGCAAGUCGAACGACCAGACGAUAAGCUUUCUCCUCUUCCGUUAGCGACUGACGGAUGAGUAACACGUGGAUCACCUACCUCUAAUACUUGGAUAACUUCGUGAAACCGGUUCUACUACCACCUCACAUGUUGAACCGCUUGGUUCAACAGUUCUACACGGUUUUCCUGUUCCUUAUAGCUGUAUCCGUGUCGCAUUAGCUAGUUGGUAAGGUAACGGCCUACCAAGGCGACGAUGCGUAGCUGACCUGAGAGGAUGAUCAGCCACACUGGAACUGAGACACGGUCCAGACUCCUACGGGAGGCAGCAGUGGGGAAUAUUGGACAAUGGGCGCAAGCCUGAUGCAGCCAUACCGCGUGAGUGAAGAAGGCCUUCGGGUUGUAAAGCCCUUUUGUUGGGAAAGAAAAGCAGCAGGUUAAUACCCGGCUGUUCUGACGGUACCCAAAGAAUAAGCACCGGCUAACUUCGUG